AGGCACUGCCUGCCCAGUGACGUAAGUUAAACGGCCGCGGUAUCCUGACCGUGCAAAGGUAGCAUAAUCAUUUGUUCCUUAAUUAGGGACUUGUAUGAACGGCCACACGAGGGUUUAACUGUCUCUUACUCUUGAUCAGUGAAAUUGACCUCCCCGUGAAGAGGCGGGGAUACACAAAUAAGACGAGAAGACCCUAUGGAGCUUUAAUUAACUAACUCACAUAUAAUUAAACCUAAUCCAAACGGAAAUAAAAAACAUAUUCUGAGUUAGCAAUUUUGGUUGGGGUGACCUCGGAGAAUAAAGCAUCCUCCGAAAAUAAUAAGCCAAGACAUAACAAGUCAAAGCAAUCUUAAGCCAUAAUUGAUCCAAUAAGUUGAUCAAUGGAACCAGUUACCCUAGGGAUAACAGCGCAAUCCUAUUUUAGAGUCCAUAUCGACAAUAGGGUUUACGACCUCGAUGUUGGAUCAGGACAUCCCAAUGGUGCAACCGCUAUUAAUGGUUCGUUUGUUCAACGAUUAAAGUCCUACGUGA
rnacentral:rRNA from 1 species